GCUUCGUUGGCUCAGUUGGUAGAGCGUCAGUCUCAUAAUCUGAAGGUCGAGAGUUCGAGCCUCCCACGGAGCA
rnacentral:tRNA from 1 species